GUAAAACUCUCUGCCUGUGACUGUGUGUGUGAGUGACUGUAUAUGUCACUGUCUGUCUGUAACUGUACUGGCUAUGACUGUGUGUGACUACCUGUAACUGACUGUGUGUGUAACUGUCUGCCUAUAACUGUGUGUGUGACUGCAUGUGACUAUGCAUGUGUGACUGUCUGUCUGUGACUGAUGUUGCCUGUGACUGUCUGUGUGACUAUCGGUCUGUGACUGUGUGCAUGUGACUGUCUGCUGCUGUUGUGUGUGUGUGUGUCAAUGUAUAGAG